GAUAUUUAUUAAAUAGCUGCAGAAUUUUAACUGUACAAAGGUAGCAUAAUCAAUAGUUUUUUAAUUGAAAGCUGGAAUGAAUGAUUUAAUAAGGAAAAUAUUGUCUCAAAAUUAAUGAUAUUAUAAUUUUUUUUUUAGUAAAAAAACUAAAUUGAAUUUAAAAGACGAGAAGACCCUAUAGAUUUUUAUAUUUUUUUUUAAAUAUAUUUAAAUUAUAAAAUAAAGUUUGAUAAAAAAAAUAUUAAGUUGGGGAAAUUAUUAAAUUAAUUAAAUUUUAAUAAGUUUUAAACUAUAAUUAAAGAAUUUAUGAUCUUAAAUUUUUAAAUUAUUAGAAUAAAUUACCUUAGGGAUAACAGCGUAAUUUUUUUGGAGAGAUCUUAUUGAUAAAAAAGUUUGCGACCUCGAUGUUGAAUUAAGAUAAAAUAUUAAUGAAGAAAUUAAUAAUUUUUGG
rnacentral:rRNA from 1 species